rnacentral:tRNA from 1 species
GCCCCCGUAGCUCAGGUGGAUAGAGCAAGGGAUUCCUAAUCCCUGCGCCCCGUGUUCGAGUCACGGCGGGGGCACCA